rnacentral:rRNA from 1 species
AUUGAACGCUGGCGGCAGGCCUAACACAUGCAAGUCGAGCGCGAAAGUUCUUCGGAAUGAGUAAAGCGGCGGACGGGUGAGUAAUACAUGGGAAUCUGCCUGGUAGUGGGGGACAACGUUUCGAAAGGAACGCUAAUACCGCAUACGCCCUACGGGGGAAAGGGGGGGAUCUUCGGACCUCUCGCUAUCAGAUGAGCCCA